UGAGGAAUAUUGGUCAAUGGGCGGGAGCCUGAACCAGCCAAGUCGCGUGAAGGAAGAAGGAUCUAUGGUUCGUAAACUUCUUUUGCAGGGGAAUAAAGUGCAGGACGUGUCCUGUUUUGUAUGUACCCUGAGAAUAAGGAUCGGCUAACUCCGUGCCAGCAGCCGCGGUAAUACGGAGGAUCCGAGCGUUAUCCGGAUUUAUUGGGUCUAAAGGGUGCGUAGGUGGUUUGAUAAGUCAGCGGUGAAAGUUUGCAGCUUAACUGUAAAAAUGCCGUUGAAACUGUCGGACUUGAGUGUAAAUGAGGUAGGCGGAAUGCGUGGUGUAGCGGUGAAAUGCAUAGAUAUCACGCAGAACUCCGAUUGCGAAGGCAGCUUACUAAGCUACAACUGACACUGAAGCACGAAAGCGUGGGGAUCAAACA
rnacentral:rRNA from 1 species